rnacentral:rRNA from 1 species
UACGUAGGGUGCGAGCGUUGUCCGGAAUUAUUGGGCGUAAAGGGCUCGUAGGCGGUCUGUCACGUCGGGAGUGAAAACUCAGGGCUUAACCCUGAGCCUGCUUCCGAUACGGGCAGACUAGAGUGUGGUAGGGGAGACUGGAAUUCCUGGUGUAGCGGUGAAAUGCGCAGAUAUCAGGAGGAACACCGAUGGCGAAGGCAGGUCUCUGGGCCACUACUGACGCUGAGAAGCGAAAGCAUGGGGAGCGAACAGG